rnacentral:rRNA from 1 species
UGCGUAGGUGGCAAGGUAAGUUCGGUGUGAAAUCCCCGGGCUUAACCCGGAAAUGGCAUUGAAUACUAUCUUGCUCGAGGGUUGGAGGGGGGACUGGAAUUCUCGGUGUAGCAGUGAAAUGCGUAGAUAUCGAGAGGAACACCAGUGGCGAAGGCGAGUCCCUGGACAACUCCUGACACUGAGGCACGAAAGCUAGGGGAGCAAACAG